UACGGAGGGUGCAAGCGUUAUCCGGAUUCACUGGGUUUAAAGGGUGCGUAGGCGGGUUGGUAAGUCCGUGGUGAAAUCCCCAAGCUUAACUUGGGAACUGCCGUGGAUACUAUCAAUCUUGAAUAUCGUGGAGGUAAGCGGAAUAUGUCAUGUAGCGGUGAAAUGCUUAGAUAUGACAUAGAACACCUAUUGCGAAGGCAGCUUACUACGCAGAUAUUGACGCUCAUGCACGAAAGCGUGGGGAUCAAACAGG
rnacentral:rRNA from 1 species